AACGAAAUGGUAAAUUGAUGAUUUAAAUGAUAUUUUUCUCGUUUA
rnacentral:sRNA from 1 species